CAGCGACGCCCGGAAGAGGAAAUCAAGCCCUAUUCCUCUUCCGACCGCGACUUUUUGCGGGAGGAGGAGGAGCCACCGUGGCCGUUCAACUUAACGCCGGGCCGCCCCGGCGGUUCCCCGUUAAGGGGGACUUUGCGCCCUUUCCUCCGUCGCGGCCCCACGGAUUCGGACCCCGCUCAGACGAGAGCCGAUGUGGGGCAGCAGCGACGCGCCAGUUCGCUCGGCCGCAUCGGACGCUGAGAUCGAUGGGAUCGAUGGGGGUUCGCUGCCCCAUAGCGUGUAUGGGGGGCACCCGUGGGUGCCCAUUGCUGCCCCAUAGGGUCCCUAUUCCUGCCCCACAGCUCCCAUGGGUGCCCCUCCCUGCCCCAUAGGGUCCCUCUCCCCACCCCACAGCCCCCAAG